GUGAGGAAUAUUGGACAAUGGGCGCAAGCCUGAUCCAGCCAUGCCGCGUGCAGGAAGAAGCAUCUAUGGUGUGUAAACUGCUUUUGUACGAGAAGAAACACUCCUUCGUGAAGGAGCUUGACGGUACCGUAAGAAUAAGGAUCGGCUAACUCCGUGCCAGCAGCCGCGGUAAUACGGAGGAUCCAAGCGUUAUCCGGAAUCAUUGGGUUUAAAGGGUCCGUAGGCGGUUUGGUAAGUCAGUGGUGAAAGCCCGCAGCUCAACUGUGGAACGGCCAUUGAUACUGCCAGACUUGAAUUACAAGGAAGUAACUAGAAUAUGUAGUGUAGCGGUGAAAUGCUUAGAUAUUACAUGGAAUACCAAUUGCGAAGGCAGGUUACUACUUGUGGAUUGACGCUGAUGGACGAAAGCGUGGGGAGCGAACAGGAUUAGAUACCCGGGUAGUCC
rnacentral:rRNA from 1 species